rnacentral:rRNA from 1 species
UACGUAGGCAGCGAGCGUUGUUCGGAGUUACUGGGCGUAAAGAGUGCGUAGGCGGUUUUCUAAGUUUGGUGUGAAAUCUCCCGGCUUAACUGUGAGGGUGCGCCGAAGACUGGAAGGCUUGAGUAUGGGAGAGGUAAGCGGAAUUCCUGGUGUAGCGGUGAAAUGCGUAGAUAUCAGGAGGAACACCUGCGGUGUAGACGGCUUACUGGACCAUAACUGACGCUGAGGCACGAAAGCGUGGGUAGCAAACAGG